GGGCCUAUAGCUCAGUUGGUUAGAGCGCCGGACUCAUAAUCCGUCGGUCCCAGGUUCAAGUCCUGGUGGGCCCACUA
rnacentral:tRNA from 1 species